rnacentral:tRNA from 2 species
GCUCCCGUCGUCUAGUCCGGUCAAGGAUAUGGGCCUCUCGAGUCCGAGAUCCCGGGUUCAAAUCCCGGCGGGAGCACCA